rnacentral:rRNA from 1 species
GAGUUUGAUCGUGGCUCAGGAUGAACGCUAGCGGCAGGCUUAAUACAUGCAAGUCGAGGGGUAACAUGGGUAGCAAUACCUGAUGACGACCGGCAAACGGGUGCGGAACACGUACGCAACCUUCCCAUAACUGGUGAAUAGCCCUCCGAAAGGAGGAUUAAUACACCGUAACAUAAUGAGGUGGCAUCACUUUAUUAUUAUAGGCUUCGGCCGGUUUUGGAUGGGCGUGCGCCUGAUUAGGUAGUUGACGGGGUAACGGCCCACCAAGCCUGCGAUCAGUAACUGGUGUGAGAGCACGACCAGUCACACGGGCACUGAGACACGGGCCCGACUCCUACGGGAGGCAGCAGUAAGGAAUAUUGGUCAAUGGACGAAAGUCUGAACCAGCCAUGCCGCGUGAAGGAUUAAGGCCCUCUGGGUUGUAAACUUCUUUUAUAUGGGACGAAAAAAGGGUAUUCUUACUCACUUGACGGUACCAUAGGAAUAAGCAACCGGCUAACUCCGUGCCAGCCCGCCGCCGUAAC